rnacentral:rRNA from 1 species
AGAGUUUGAUCAUGGCUCAGAGCGAACGCUGGCGGCAGGCUUAACACAUGCAAGUCGAGCGGGCGUAGCAAUACGUCAGCGGCAGACGGGUGAGUAACGCGUGGGAACGUACCUUUUGGUUCGGAACAACACAGGGAAACUUGUGCUAAUACCGGAUAAGCCCUUACGGGGAAAGAUUUAUCGCCGAAAGAUCGGCCCGCGUCUGAUUAGCUAGUUGGUGAGGUAACGGCUCACCAAGGCGACGAUCAGUAGCUGGUCUGAGAGGAUGAUCAGCCACAUUGGGACUGAGACACGGCCCAAACUCCUACGGGAGGCAGCAGUGGGGAAUAUUGGACAAUGGGCGCAAGCCUGAUCCAGCCAUGCCGCGUGAGUGAUGAAGGCCCUAGGGUUGUAAAGCUCUUUUGUGCGGGAAGAUAAUGACGGUACCGCAAGAAUAAGCCCCGGCUAACUUCGUGCCAGCAGCCGCGGUAAUACGAAGGGGGCUAGCGUUGCUCGGAAUCACUGGGCGUAAAGGGUGCGUAGGCGGGUCUUUAAGUCAGGGGUGAAAUCCUGGAGCUCAACUCCAGAACUGCCAUUGAUACUGAAGAUCUUGAGUUCGGGAGAGGUGAGUGGAACUGCGAGUGUAGAGGUGAAAUUCGUAGAUAUUCGCAAGAACACCAGUGGCGAAGGCGGCUCACUGGCCCGAUACUGACGCUGAUGCACGAAAGCGUGGGGAGCAAACAGGAUUAGAUACCCCAGUAGUCC